UACGUAGGGUGCGAGCGUUGUCCGGAAUUAUUGGGCGUAAAGAGCUCGUAGGCGGUGUGUCGCGUCGGCCGUGAAAACCUGCAGCUUAACUGUGGGCUUGCGGUCGAUACGGGCAUCACUGGAGUUCGGCAGGGGAGACUGGAAUUCCUGGUGUAGCGGUGAAAUGCGCAGAUAGUCAGAGGAACGACCGGUGGCGAAGGCGGGUCUCUGGGCCGAUACUGACGCUGAGGAGCGAAAGCGUGGGGAGCGAAC
rnacentral:rRNA from 1 species